rnacentral:rRNA from 1 species
AGGGCACCACCAGGAGUGGAGCCUGCGGCUUAAUUUGACUCAACACGGGAAAACUUACCCGGCCCGGACACUAGAAGGAUUGACAGAUUGGGAGCUCUUUCUUGAUUUAGUGGGUGGUGGUGCAUGGCCGUUCUUAGUUGGUGGAGCGAUUUGUCUGGUUAAUUCCGAUAACGAACGAGACUCUAGCCUACUAAAUAGACCGGGGAGUCUUAGCCUCCCCGGGACUUCUUAGAGGGACAAACGGCGAGUAAGCCGAACGAGAGAGAGCAAUAACAGGUCUGCGAUGCCCUUAGAUGUCCGGGGCCGCACGCGCGCUACACUGAAGUGAUCAGCGUGCAUGUGUUCCCUCUCCGACAGGAGAGGGUAACCCAAGGAACCUUCUUCGUGAUAGGGAUUGGGCAUUGUAAUUAUUGCCCAUGAACGAGGAAUUCCUAGUAGGCGCGAGUCAUUAGCUUGCGUUGAUUACGUCCCUGCCCUUUGUACACACCGCCCGUCGCUACUACCGAUUGAAUGGUUUAG